ensembl:lncRNA
CCCCCCCCCCCACAAAUUCUCAGAAAAGAUCAAUAAAAUAAUCUAUAUUUAUAUAUAUAUAACAUUCUAUUCCAAGUUUGAGUUUCAAGUUUUUAAUUUCACUUAUUAUUCAACGUCUUUUUUUUAUCCCAGGGAAAUCAAAGUAGUCCACAGUCUGUCUCCUGUAGAUUCUGGGUUCAGAAUCCGUUUAAAUUACAAGGGAAGAGAAGCCAAUUCGUUGACAACCGCCUCACAGGGAUGUCCACAGUUUUGCUACUGCCUCCGUCAACAGUAGGGGGCGCCAGAGACGGCAAGAAACCCCCCCUAACAAGACACAUGAAAAAGUAUUGUACCGACACCAGAAAGACAAAUCAAAGAGUGAUCAAAACGUAGGAUUAGAACAAAAAAUAUAAAAGAACAUGUGAAUGUAGAAUCAUUUCGAUUUUAGUGAUUAAUAACAGGUUUUUAAUUGUUUUUAAUUAAAAGCUUGUCUCUCUCUGGGCAAAUCUUACAAUAAGCCCACAGCACCGAGAAGAGUCACUUCCGCUUACAUUCCUGAUAUCUUCCUUUAACCCACAGCAGCUUCAGUGUUCAACCAAUCAGAGCGACAGACAGGAUCCCUAACCCAAUCGCUAUAUUCCCCCCUAAAUCAUCAUUUAUAUACAAAAUCAUUUGUACAAAUAAAUUAAAAGCUGGGGCCAAUGCAGCCAGGUUAAAACAGCCGUUAAUGGCCAUUCAUCCAUAAGCCACCUCUCUCAUCUCUCUCCGAACUACAGUGGUGUCGGUCUGAGGGAAACACUCACCCUUCAAAGCUCCACCAAAAACACUCACACCGCUGCCUCCAACCUGGACUUAAAGGGUUUGUGCGUCGGUUCAUGAUUAUGAUCUGUGGUAGUCUGCAACUCUCUGCUCUAUGGGACCAAUAACCUAUAAUAAUUGAUCUCUACCCCCGCCUAUGAAUGACUUAAAUCAAAUCCUGGAGUGGACCGGUCACUAGUGGACUGGAGUUAGAUGCUGUUGGGCUGGUGGGUCUGUGCAGAGCAACCCCCCCCCCCCCCUCAACAUGCUGGGGCCUGCUGAUGAGUUUGGUAUUAAGCUAGGUGAGAGACGCAAAGAGAGAGAGAGAGACAGAGAGAAGAGGACAGAGACAGAGAGAGAGAGAGAGAGAGAGAGACAGAGAGAGAGACAGACAGAGAGAGCGAGAGAGAGAGACAGACAGAGACAGAGACAGAGAGCGAGAGAGAGAGACAGAGACAGAGAGAGAGUAUCUUGACCACACUAUAUAGAUAAUGGCUUUUUCUCGUGACCUGAAGUGAACUCUGGAAGAGGUGGGAAACGUUUGAAACCACAAACAAACAAACCAACAGUGGACCUGUUGAAGUACCGUCGUGUUCCUCCUGGAACACCAGUGCAGCUUCUGGGACGGGGUGGGAGGGUUCAAGUGUACAAGCGAGGAUGCUGAUUGGCUCGUUAGGCUCAGUAGUGAGAGCGCAUCCUCAACAAUCCUCUGGCAGGGAAUCCAGAGUGCAUGUUUCCCGUGCACGCCCCUCGAUCCUCGUGCACUCAAGAGUCUUUUGGGGGCGUGGCGGAAAAUAAGUCAAACAAUUAUUAUGAUCCCGACUUCCUGUUGAUCCAGGAAGUCAACCCCCCCCCCCCACCCCUUCCCCCAUGGCACAUCCCCACUGCAAGACCUGGUGAGCCCCAGUGUGUGGAGGUCAUUGAGGUCACAGGUCGGGGGGGGUCAUAGCGGCCGGGGCCGGUGCAGGCCGUCGAUGUCGGGGGUGAGCUGGGGGCUGUGCGUGGCCUUGGUGGGGGUCCAGUCGCCCAGGGAGGCCUGCGCCGCCUUGCGGUGUGCCAGCCGGUGGGUGAUGGAGAAGCCUGCGUUGCCCUCCAGCUGGGACAGCACCACCAGCACCUGCCUGCAGGGGGCGACAGAGCAGUGCCGCCU